rnacentral:lncRNA from 1 species
UGUUGUCCAGAUUGAUUACCAGCAGGAAUUGUUACUGCAGCAUACGGGUGGUAACGAUCCCUACCGUGUCCCCUUUGGACAUACACAUCACUCGAUGCACCCUCCUUCUCGCGCUGACCGUUACCAAAGGGCUUCUUGACUCCAGACGACGGAGCAUUUCCCUGUAUUUUCCCUAUUCUCAGCCAGCUUUCAAUCCUCUCCAACCUCUCGGCGAUUGCUUUCUGCCCCAAGGCGAACCCUUGCAUGACGUUGAUCAAUUCACUCAUAUUCUCUUUC